UGGCACUAGAAGCCGAUGAAGGACGUUACUAACGACGAUAUGCUUUGGGUAGCUGUAAGUAAGCGUUGAUCCAGAGAUUUCCGAAUGGGGGAACCCAGCAUGAGUUAUGUCAUGUUAUCGAUAUGUGAAUUCAUAGCAUGUCAGAAGGCAGACCCGGAGAACUGAAACAUCUUAGUACCCGGAGGAAGAGAAAGAAAAAUCGAUUCCCUGAGUAGCGGCGAGCGAAACGGGAAGAGCCCAAAC
rnacentral:rRNA from 1 species